GCUAGUUGGUAAGGUAACGGCUUACCAAGGCGACGAUGUUUAGGGGACCUGAGAGGGUUGUCCCCCACACUGGUACUGAGACACGGACCAGACUCCUACGGGAGGCAGCAGUGAGGAAUAUUGGUCAAUGGGCGCAAGCCUGAACCAGCCAUCCCGCGUGAAGGAAGAAUGCGCUACGCGUUGUAAACUUCUUUUCCAGGGGGAGAAUAAUCCUGUCGUGACAGGACUUGACGGUACUCUGGGAAUAAGCAUCGGCUAACUCCGUGCCAGCAGCCGCGGUAAUACGGAGGAUGCGAGCGUUAUCCGGAUUUAUUGGGUUUAAAGGGUGCGUAGGCGGAUUGAUAAGUCAGUGGUGAAAUUCUACAGCUUAACUGUAGACUUGCCGUUGAUACUGUUAGUCUUGAGUGUGGUCAAGGCAGGCGGAAUGUGUAAUGUAGCGGUGAAAUGCUUAGAUAUUACACAGAACACCGAUUGCGAAGGCAGCUUGCUGGGUCAUUACUGACGCUGAUGCACGAAAGCGUGGGGAUCAAACAGGAUUGGAUACCCUGGUAGUCCACGCCGUAAACGAUGUCAACUAGUUGUUGGGUUCCUUGAGGACUUAGUAAC
rnacentral:rRNA from 1 species